ensembl:rRNA 5S_rRNA 5S ribosomal RNA
GCUUAUGGCCAUACCACCCUGUCUGUGCCAGAUCUCGUCUGAUUUUGGAAGCUAAGCAGGGUUGUGCUUGGUUAGUACUUGGAUGGGAGACCGCCUGGGAAUACCAGGUGCUGUAAGCU